GACGGGGGAUGCAAGCGUUAUCCGGAGUCACUGGGCGUAAAGCGUCUGUAGGUGGAGAUGCAAGUCACUGGUGCAAAACUCUGGCUCAACCGGAGGAAAGCCAGUGAAACUGCAUGACUAGAGUGUGGGAGAGGUAGAAGGAAUUCCCUGAGUAGCGGUGAAAUGCGUAGAUACAGGGAAGAACACCGGAGGCGAAAGCGUUCUACUGGAACACAACUGACACUGAGAGACGAAAGCUAGGGGAGCGAAGGGG
rnacentral:rRNA from 1 species